GAUUGACUUGUUUUUUUUUGUUCAUUUUUUUUUUUUUUUACUUUCCAGCUUCCUUCUGCAUUUUGGAAAUGAUCAGUACAAAAGAAAAGGAUGACUAAUGUUUUGCUUGGGUUUGUUGUUUAUUUGAUUUGACACUCCACAUACUGAUACUGAAUCAAUGAGUAAUUUGUACAGAUUUUGAAUUUGAUCUCAUUUUGUGUACAGCAUAUUUCAUGAAGUCUGGCUCUUAUGUGAGCUACAGUGCCUGAACUGAACCUAUACUUCUCAAUAACCUUCGAACCCACAUUACAGGUUUCACACUAUUUAAAUUUACCUGAAACUUUACUGCAGUUUCUUAGAAAACAUGUCCAACAGAAGCAUGUUCGAUCACACUGAGAUCUUUUAGUAUUCUUUCUCGAAUUGAAAAAUGAGUCAUACCUAACACAGUGAAGGAAAUAAAUUUGUAACUGCAGAAGAGGCUCUGUUAGACAAAGUAAAUAUUGCUCAGAAUCACUUUCCAUAAAACAGCAGCAUGUGAUUUCAGCUAUUGCGUAUAACACUUAAUCUGACACCAGGUUAUUUUAGAUAUAGUGCAGUAAAGUUGCUUAUCAUGUUUGUAAUAAACUUUACUGUAUCAAAUAUGGCAGAAGUAAGUCUGAAUCAAAGUAACCGAUCAUUUAAAGGAGAAACAAAGUGCAUAAAAAUGCAGAAAAAAUGACACCAUGCUAUAGUGCUGUUGUGUUAAAUUCACAGUAAUGUGUGUGGUUGACCAUUAAUUUCAUUCAAGGAAGAAAGUACACUGGUCAAAGUGUAAAAAUUGCCAAUGCAGUGGUUUUGCUGUUGUGUUACGUUAUUGUGUCGUAAAAUGUAGAAAUCAAUCAGCUUCCGAUAUGCAAAUCUAUCCCUCCCAUUGCUUUUUCAUAGGUCAGAACCUGUGAUUUACAUAAUACUUUUUUAUGUGUGUGAAAGUGCCACAUUAAGCAAUUUAUUAUUCCACAUAAGGUUUUUGAAUAUAUUUUGGUUGACUGGAAUAUGAUUUCCCGCUUGAUUUCAGGUAACAGUUCAGUAUUACAGCAUAGUGUGCAUAAAAAUCCCUUUAUGAGAGACACAGUGAAUACUUCACAAUAAGAGUUUAUAAUUUAGAACAGCACAUACAAGAUAAUUUUAUAAAGUUACGUUUUCCAGCAGAUGGAACAGCGUUGCGUGGUUUUUCCCUAUACCAGCAUACCCUAAUUUCACUUUUCCUUAACUGAUAAGUAGCAUAACAUAAAUAAGAUUAGCUUGAGCAAGAAAACAUUUAAACCAUGGUAUGUUCCAGCCUCUUAGAUUUGAGAUCAUAGAUGUCAUGACUCGGAUACAGAGAUGCACAGCAGUUACAUCCAGUGUCCACAAGGAGGCAUAAGAACUUUAAAAAUACAAUAAGAGCUGUCUUUGAAAUGUCAGAAAGCUGAAAUGUCCUGGACAUUCUGUGUCUAAUCACAAUGUCAAAGUAAAAUCUGAUGCAGUUGCCUAAUUUGAUUAAAGCAAAACUGAUCAAGUUUGGGGAGUGGGCCAUUCAGAGACCUUCAGUUUCUGUAGCAUUGACAUGACAUCAACGAGGUGUAAAAUACAUUCACUUGUUUUGAAUUCUGAACACGACCUCCAAUUCCU
ensembl:lncRNA